GUCGAGGGGCAGCAUGGUCUUAGCUUGCUAAGGCCGAUGGCGACCGGCGCACGGGUGAGUAACGCGUAUCCAACCUGCCUUACACUCUUGGACAGCCUUCUGAAAGGGAGAUUAAUACAAGAUGUUAUCAUGAGUAAGCAUUUUCGCAUGAUUAAAGGUUUACCGGUGUAAGAUGGGGAUGCGUUCCAUUAGAUAGUAGGCGGGGUAACGGCCCACCUAGUCUUCGAUGGAUAGGGGUUCUGAGAGGAAGGUCCCCCACAUUGGAACUGAGACACGGUCCAAACUCCUACGGGAGGCAGCAGUGAGGAAUAUUGGUCAAUGGACGAGAGUCUGAACCAGCCAAGUAGCGUGAAGGAUGAAGGUUCUAUGGAUUGUAAACUUCUUUUAUACGGGAAUAAACGAAUCCACGUGUGGAUUUUUGCAUGUACCGUAUGAAUAAGGAUCGGCUAACUCCGUGCCAGCAGCCGCGGUAAUACGGAGGAUCCGAGCGUUAUCCGGAUUUAUUGGGUUUAAAGGGAGCGUAGAUGGGUUGUUAAGUCAGUUGUGAAAGUUUGCGGCUCAACCGUAAAAUUGCAAUUGAUACUGGCAGUCUUGAGUACAGUUGAGGUAGGCGGAAUUCGUGGUGUAGCGGUGAAAUGCUUAGAUAUCACGAAGAACUCCGAUUGCGAAGGCAGCUUACUAACCUGUAACUGACAUUGAUGCUCGAAAGUGUGGGUAUCAAACAGGAUUAGAUACCCUGGUAGUCCACACGGUAAACGAUGAAUACUCGCUGUAGGCGAUAUACAGUCUGCGGCCAAGCGAAAGCAUUAAGUAUUCCACCUGGGGAGUACGCCGGCAACGGUGAAACUCAAAGGAAUUGACGGGGGCCCGCACAAGCGGAGGAACAUGUGGUUUAAUUCGAUGAUACGCGAGGAACCUUACCCGGGCUUAAAUUGCAACCGAAUAUGGCGGAAACGCUAUAGCUAGCAUAGCGG
rnacentral:rRNA from 1 species